rnacentral:rRNA from 1 species
CUACGGGAGGCAGCAGUGGGGAAUAUUGCACAAUGGGGGAAACCCUGAUGCAGCCAUGCCGCGUGUGUGAAGAAGGCCUUCGGGUUGUAAAGCACUUUCAGUAGGGAGGAAAGGUAAUAGCUUAAUACGCURUURCUGUGACGUUACCUACAGAAGAAGGACCGGCUAACUCCGUGCCAGCAGCCGCGGUAAUACGGAGGGUCCGAGCGUUAAUCGGAAUUACUGGGCGUAAAGCGUGCGCAGGCGGUUUGUUAAGCGAGAUGUGAAAGCCCCGGGCUCAACCUGGGAAUUGCAUUUCGAACUGGCGAACUAGAGUCUUGUAGAGGGGGGUAGAAUUCCAGGUGUAGCGGUGAAAUGCGUAGAGAUCUGGAGGAAUACCGGUGGCGAAGGCGGCCCCCUGGACAAAGACUGACGCUCAGGCACGAAAGCGUGGGGAGCAAACAGGAUUAGAUACCCUGGUAGUCCACGCCGUAAACGAUGUCUACUCGGAGUUUGGUGUCUUGAACACUGGGCUCUCAAGCUAACGCAUUAAGUAGACCGCCUGGGGAGUACGGCCGCAAGGUUAAAACUCAAAUGAAUUGACGGGGGCCCGCACAAGCGGUGGAGCAUGUGGUUUAAUUCGAUGCAACGCGAAGAACCUUACCUACUCUUGACAUCCACRGAAUUCGCUAGAGAUAGCUUAGUGCCUUCGGGAACUGUGAGACAGGUGCUGCAUGGCUGUCGUCAGCUCGUGU